CUGGGGCCUGGUCAUGCAGGGCCCGGACAGGGGGCUGUCCCGCUGUGAGGAAGCUCUUGGCUUACCCUCCUCUGAGCCUCAGAGCUUGUGAGGUUAGUUCCUGGGUUCCCUGGGUGUGGGCAACCUCUAGCCCUGUUCAUCCCUUGCGUUUCAACAGUACCCCCAGGUGACCCCCACCCCUGAUGUUCCUGCUUUUCUAUUUUUAUUGUUGCUAAAUCACAGCUGACACUUUCCUGGCCUGAGACUGAGCCCUCCAGUCUCCAGCCAUUCCUUAUAGGAAGUAAGAACAGGGAAGUGGAUAGGGGAAACAGACCUUUCCAGAGGGAGAGGCUGGCAUAGGAAGGGCUGAGUCCCGUGGGUGUGUGCUGGCACCGACAGCCCCAUAGGCAGGGGCCUUCCCCCCGGCACCCUUCUCUCUCCCCACAGCUUCCCCCGCCCCGGAAAAGCUAGCAAGCCUUCCUUCCUUCCUCCGGGAAGCACAUCUAUCCAGAGCAGGCUCAUCCCCGGCGGCCACACAAUGGCCCUUAUCAGCCGUGGAGCCAGGCGUAGACCCAGUGCACACCAGUAAUCUUGAGAAUAGGGACAUCAUCUGUAUUUUACAGACUACUGAGACCGCUCUGCGGGUGGGUUCAGACCCCAUUCCUGUUUCUGGUCCUGUGGGAAACCACAGGUGCCUGGAACUUUGAAGAGACUGUACCACUUCUCUGAGCCUUGGCUUUCCCAUCUGCCCAAUGAAGGGUGCCAUGCAGUAACCCUCGUGAUGGCUGUGCAUGUGAGAAGGAACAGGUGGGCAAGUGAGGGCUUUGGAGGUCCCUAGGUAUAUGUGUUGGGGGCAGGGAUAGGUUACCAUGGGGGAAAACUCAGCAAGAAGGGGCUGAGGAGAAGUGGGGCAGAAAGAGAAGAUGGUGGCAUUCUGGACUGGUUAACGCAGGCAGAAGGCUCAACACCAGGGUAUGCAGAGCAGCGGGUCAGGAGGGAUGAACAAGAGCUCAUUUGACUUAACAGAGUACAUUAAGCGGCCACCGGCAUAGAUGGCAUGCUCCACCUGGUUAGGGCCCCAGAGGCUCACCAUUCUAGAACCUCAUCCUAGCCCCAGUCCUGGCCACUUCUGCAAAUCUCAGACACAGAAGUCUAGUUGGGAUCUACAGGGUCCCUGUUCCUGGAAUCUACAGCUAGUCCCAGGCCCAUCACCGUACCCCCACCCCCCAAUCAUCAGUCACACGCAAGUGUAAAAGCCACG
rnacentral:lncRNA from 1 species